rnacentral:rRNA from 1 species
GACGGAGGGGGCAAGCGUUGUCCGGACUCACUGGGCGUAAAGGGUGCGUGAGGCGGUCUUGUGCGUCGGCGCUGAAAUCACACGGCUCAACCGUGUGGCGCGUGCCGGAUACGACGAGGACUUGAGGCUCUGAGAGGGUGGCGGAACUCCUGGUGUAGUGGUGAAAUGCGUAGAGAUCAGGAAGAACACCCGUGGCGCAAGCGGCCACCUGGCAGAGUUCUGACGCUGAGGCACGAAAGCGUGGGGAGCGAACCGG